rnacentral:rRNA from 1 species
GAACCGUGCGAACGUUGUUCGGAAUCACUGGGKUUAAAGGGUGCGUAGGCGGGUUGUCCAGUCUGGGGUGAAAUCCCACGGCUCAACCGUGGAACUGCCUCAGAUACUGACGACCUCGAGGGAGGUAGGGGCGAGCGGAACUGUGGGUGGAGCGGUGAAAUGCGUUGAUAUCCACAGGAACUCCGGUGGCGAAGGCGGCUCGCUGGACCUCUGCUGACGCUGAGGCACGAAAGCUAGGGGAGCAAACGGGAUUAGAUACCCCGGUAGUCCUAGCCCUAAACGAUGGGUACUAGGUAGUAGGCUAGACAUGGGCUUACUGCCGUAGCAAAAGUGCUAAGUACCCCGCCUGGGGAGUAUGGCCGCAAGGCUG